UAGGGAAUUUUCGGCAAUGGGGGGAAACCCUGACCGAGCAAUGCCGCGUGAAUGAUGAAAUUCUUCGGAAUGUAAAAUUCUGUUGUGAGGGAAGAAAGGUAGUAUCAGGAAAUGGGUAUUACUUGACGGUACCUUACUAGAAAGCCCCGGCUAACUAUGUGCCAGCAGCCGCGGUAAUACAUAGGGGGCGAGCGUUAUCCGGAAUUAUUGGGCGUAAAGCGUGCGUAGGUGGCCGUUUAAGUCUGUCGUGAAAGCCCACAGCUUAACUGUGGAGGGUCGAUGGAAACUGGAUGGCUUGAAUCUAGAAGAGGUAAGUGGAAUUCCAUGUGUAGCGGUAAAAUGCUUAGAUAUAUGGAGGAACACCAGUGGCGAAGGCGGCUUACUGGUCUAGCAUUGACGCUGAGGCACGAAAGCGUAGGUAGCAAACAGGAUUAGAUACCCUGGUAGU
rnacentral:rRNA from 1 species